rnacentral:rRNA from 1 species
CCCUUAGAUGUCCUGGGCCGCACGCGCGCUACACUGAACGGAUCAGCGCGUUUUCCCUUCCCGAGAGGGACGGGUAACCUGCCGAACCCCGUUCGUGGUAGGGAUCGGGGCUUGCAAUUAUUCCCCGUGAACCAGGAAUGCCCAGUAAGUGCAAGUCAUAAGCUUGCGUUGAUUACGUCCCUGCCCUUUGUACACACCGCCCGUCGCUACUACCGAUUGAACGUUUUAGUGAGGUACUCGGACUGAGCCUCAGAAGAUUCACGUCUUUUGUGCUGCUCGGGAAGAUUCCCAAACUUGAGCGUUUAGAGGAAGUAAAANUCGUAACA